GCCCCUGUAGCUCAGUGGACAGAGCAGCUGCCUUCUAAGCAGUCGGUCGGGCGUUCGAAUCGCCCCAGGGGUG
rnacentral:tRNA from 1 species